AUUGAACGCUGGCGGCAGGCCUAACACAUGCAAGUCGAACGAUUGGCGGACGGGUGUGUAAUGUCUGGGAAACUGCCUGAUGGAAGGGGAUUACUACUGGAAACGGUAGCUAAUACCGCAUACCCCCAGAUGUUCCCAGAUGGGAUUAGGUUGUUGGUGGGGUAACGGCUCACCAAGGCGACGAUCCCCACCUGGUCUGAGAGGAUGACCAGCCAAACUUGAACUGAGACACGGUCGAGACUCCUCCGGGAGGCAGCAGUGGGGAAUAUUGCACAAAGGGCGCAAGCCUGAUGCAGCCAUGCCGCUUGUAUGAAGAAGGCCUUCGGGUUGUAAAGUACUUUCAGUGGGGUGGCGUUACCCGCAGAAGAAGCACCGGCUAACUCCGUGCCAGCAGCCGCGGUAAUUC
rnacentral:rRNA from 1 species